rnacentral:rRNA from 1 species
AGGGCAAGUCUGGUGCCAGCAGCCGCGGUAAUUCCAGCUCCAAUAGCGUAUAUUAAAGUUGUUGCAGUUAAAAAGCUCGUAGUUGAAUUUCGGGGUUCUACCGUUGGUCGGGCUUUGUCUGUACUGGUGUGUAGAAUUUCUACCUUCUGGGGAACCAUCAUGCUAUUAAUUUAGCGUGGUGGGAAACCAGGACCUUUACCUUGAAAAAAUUAGUGUGUUCAAAGCAGGCUUAUGUCUGAAUACAUUAGCGUGGAAUAAUAGAAUAGGACGGUGGUCCUGUUUUGUUGGAUUCUGAAUCACCGUAAUGAUUAAUAGGGAUAGUUGGGGGCAUUAGUAUUCAAUUGUCAGAGGUGAAAUUCUUGGAUUUAUUGAAGACUAACUUCUGCGAAAGCAUUUGCCAAGGAUGUUUUCAUUAAUCAAGAACGAAAGUUAGGGGAUCGAAGACGAUCAGAUACCGUCGUAGUCUUAACCAUAAACUAUGCCGACUAGGGAUCGGACGAUGUUAAUUUUUCUUGACUCGUUCGGCGCCUUACGGGAACC